GACGAACGCUGGCGGCGUGCUUAACAUAUGCAAGUCGAACGGAAAGGCCCUGCUUUUGUGGGGUGCUCGAGUGGCGAACGGGUGAGUAACACGUGAGUAACCUGCCCUUGACUUUGGGAUAACUUCAGGAAACUGGGGCUAAUACCGGAUAGGAGCUCCUGCUGCAUGGUGGGGGUUGGAAAGUUUCGGCGGUUGGGGAUGGACUCGCGGCUUAUCAGCUUGUUGGUGGGGUAGUGGCUUACCAAGGCUUUGACGGGUAGCCGGCCUGAGAGGGUGACCGGCCACAUUGGGACUGAGAUACGGCCCAGACUCCUACGGGAGGCAGCAGUGGGGAAUUUUGCACAAUGGGCGGAAGCCUGAUGCAGCAACGCCGCGUGCGGGAUGACGGCCUUCGGGUUGUAAACCGCUUUCGCCUGUGACGAAGCGUGAGUGACGGUAAUGGGUAAAGAAGCACCGGCUAACUACGUG
rnacentral:rRNA from 1 species